rnacentral:rRNA from 1 species
UACGGGGAGAGCAAGCAUUAUUCAAAAUUAUUAGGCGUAAAGUGUUUGUAGAUUGUUUUUUAAGUUAAUAAAAAAAAAUGAAAGCAUCACUUUUUUAAUUUUAUUAAAACUAAAAAACUAGAGUAUUUUAUAAAAGAUAACGGAAUUUUUAAUGUAAGGAUAAAAUCUAUUGAGAUUAAAAGGAACAACAAAAGCGAAAGCAGUUUUCUAGGUAAAUACUGACAUUGAGAAACGAAAGUAUAGGGAGCAAACGGG